UGAAGAAAAACAUUUACUGAUGUCAUUGAUAAAAAGGACAAAGAGAAGGGGCCCCAAGAUGCUUCCUUGGGGAACACCUGAAGUAGCAACAAAGUGGUUCGACAAAACACCGUCUAUUGAUACCACACAGCAUCUAUCCGUCAGGUAUGAUCUAAGCCACUGCAGAAAGAUGGAGUGAAAGCCCAAGCAGGCUAACAAACAUUGUGAAGCGAGAAAGC